CAAGAGCUUUUCAAGCUCUCGACCGGGGUUCGAAUCCCCGUGGGGACG
rnacentral:tRNA from 1 species